UGGGGAAUAUUGCACAAUGGGCGAAAGCCUGAUGCAGCAACGCCGCGUGAGUGAUGAAGGCCUUCGGGUUGUAAAGCUCUGUCUUUUGGGACGAUAAUGACGGUACCAAAGGAGGAAGCCACGGCUAACUACGUGCCAGCAGCCGCGGUAAUACGUAGGUGGCAAGCGUUGUCCGGAUUUACUGGGCGUAAAGGAUGCGUAGGCGGAUUUUUAAGUGAGAUGUGAAAUACCCGGGCUUAACUUGGGCGCUGCAUUUCAAACUGGGAAUCUAGAGUGCGGGAGAGGAGAAUGGAAUUCCUAGUGUAGCGGUGAAAUGCGUAGAGAUUAGGAAGAACACCAGUGGCGAAGGCGAUUCUCUGGACCGUAACUGACGCUGAGGCAUGAAAGCGUGGGUAGCAAACAGGAUUAGAUACCCUGGUAGUCCACGCCGUAAACGAUGAGUACUAGGUGUAGGAGGUAUCGACCCCUUCCGUGCCGCAGUUAACACAAUAAGUACUCCGCCUGGGAAGUACGAUCGC
rnacentral:rRNA from 1 species